GGGCAGUAGCCUUUAGAGAGGGGAAUUAUUUUUGUUUUCCUCAGCCAGAGUUUACUAAGCUGGGAAAGGCUGGUGUUCCUCUCUGCUUUGCAGUUUUUCUAUAUCCCUUGUGUCUGGUAAUUUGCCAAGCUCUCAUUCCCAAACGUGUGACUUGUCAUUCUUGUAUCUCUUGAGAAAGUAUUGAAAAGGUAACUACAGGUUAUGCAGAAGAUGCAGCUAUCAGGUCAUAAAUUGUAAAAACUCAUCUCUUUAGAUCUCAUGACUUUUUUUCAAUAUGAUGUAUCUGCUAUUAAAUAUACCUACUGUCUUUUCCUGCAGAGGCCUUUUUUCCUGGAAAACUAGCUGAUGUAAGAAUGUCAUGACUUGGAGGCAUCUGACUCUGCUUUUGAAUACC
rnacentral:lncRNA from 1 species